AAAAAAACAAACCCUUAAUUUUCGUGUUCAACGUUUGAUCAUCCGUCUUAUUUAAAAAAUUAUGAAAAAAAUUUAAAAAAAACAAGUCAAGCAUAAAAUAUUAAUUAUAUUUUAUCAUUUAACCACGAUAAAAAUACUAAUUAUAAAAAAAAAUUCAUAUAAGACGGACAGUCAAACGUUGGACACGAANNNN
rfam:Oryza meridionalis cultivar OR44 (W2112) chromosome 4, whole genome shotgun sequence.